rnacentral:rRNA from 1 species
ACGGAGGGUGCUAGCGUUGUUCGGAAUCACUGGGCGUAAAGGGCGCGUAGGCGGCAUGGCCAGUCAGAUGUGAAAGCCCAGGGCUCAACCCUGGAACUGCAUUUGAUACUGCCAAGCUAGAGUUCGGAAGAGGAAAGUGGAAUACCCAGUGUAGAGGUGAAAUUCGUAGAUAUUGGGUGGAACACCGGUGGCGAAAGCGGCUUUCUGGUCCGACACUGACGCUGAGGCGCGAAAGCGUGGGGAGCAAACAGG